ACCGGGAGAUAGCUGGUUCUCCCCGAAAGCUAUUUAGGUAGCGCCUCGUGAAUUCAUCUCCGGGGGUAGAGCACUGUUUCGGCUAGGGGGCCAUCCCGGCUUACCAACCCGAUGCAAACUGCGAAUACCGGAGAAUGUUAUCACGGGAGACACACGGCGGGUGCUAACGUCCGUCGUGAAGAGGGAAACAACCCAGACCGCCAGCUAAGGUCCCAAAGUCAUGGUUAAGUGGGAAACGAUGUGGGAAGGCCCAGACAGCCAGGAUGUUGGCUUAGAAGCAGCCAUCAUUUAAAGAAAGCGUAAUAGCUCACUGGUCGAGUCGGCCUGCGCGGAAGAUGUAACGGGGCUAAACCAUG
rnacentral:rRNA from 2 species